rnacentral:ncRNA from 2 species
UAAAAAUUUGCCCGCAACCCCUGUAUAAUUCCGGGAAUAUGGCCCGGAAGUUUCUACCGGGCGGCCGUAAACCGCCGAAGGCUAUAGGGGAAUCAUAGUAUUCC